GAGCUCUCAAUCUGUCAAUCCUUCCAGUGUCCGGGCCUGGUGAGAUUUCCCGUGUUGAGUCAAAUUAAGCCGCAGGCUCCACUCCUGGUGGUGCCCUUCCGUCAAUUCCUUUAAGUUUCAGCUUUGCAACCAUACUUCCCCCGGAACUCAAAAACUUUGGUUUCCCGGAAGCUUCCCGUAGAGCCUACAUAGAAAACAGCUACGGAUCGCUAGUCAGCAUUGUUUAUGGUUAGAACUAGGGCGGUAUCUGAUCGCCUUCGAACCUCUAACUUUCGUUCUUGAUUAAUGAAAACACUCUUGGCAAAUGCUUUCGCAGUAGUUAGUCCUCAAACGGUCCAAGAAUUUCACCUCUGUCGUCUGAGUACUAAUGCCCCCGGCUGUCCCUAUUAAUCAUUAAGUCAAUUUCCGAAAACCAAAAAAAUAGAAACGACUUCCUAUUCCAUUAUUCCAUGCACAAAUAUUCAAGCUUUGUAGCCUGCUUUGAGCACUCUAAUUUUUUCAAAGUAAAACUGCAAGCGUUCCAAGACAGCCGAUUAAAGCCACCUUGAGACCUCUUGCAAAAACACAGGUAAAUGGGGCAGUGCCGUCAGAAACGAACCGCCCCCUACCUGCCGAGAUCCAACUACGAGCUUUUUAACCGCAACAACUUUAAUAUACGCUAUUGGAGCUGGAAU
rnacentral:rRNA from 1 species